UACGUAGGGCGCAAGCGUUGUCCGGAAUUACUGGGCGUAAAGGGCUCGUAGGCGGCCAACUAAGUCAGACGUGAAAUCCCUCGGCUUAACCGGGGAACUGCGUCUGAUACUGGAUGGCUUGAGUUUGGGAGAGGGAUGCGGAAUUCCAGGUGUAGCGGUGAUAUGCGUAGAUAUCGGGAGGAACACCAGUGGCGAAGGCGGCUCUCUGGGCCCUACCUGACGCUGAGACGCGAAAGCGUGGGGAGCGAACCGG
rnacentral:rRNA from 1 species